rnacentral:rRNA from 1 species
UGGGGGAUAUUGCACAAUGGGGGAAACCCUGAUGCAGCAACGCCGCGUGAGGGAAGAAGGUUUUCGGAUUGUAAACCUCUGUCCUUGGUGAAGAAGGAAGUGACGGUAACCGAGGAGGAAGCCACGGCUAACUACGUGCCAGCAGCCGCGGUAAUACGUAGGUGGCAAGCGUUGUCCGGAAUUACUGGGUGUAAAGGGUGCGCAGGCGGGUAGUCAAGUUGGAUGUGAAAACUAUGGGCUUAACCCAUAGACUGCAUCCAAAACUGAUUAUCUUGAGUGAAGUAGAGGCAGGCGGAAUUCCGAGUGUAGCGGUGGAAUGCGUAGAUAUUCGGAGGAACACCAGUGGCGAAGGCGGCCUGCUGGGCUUUAACUGACGCUGAGGCACGAAAGCAUGGGGAGCAAACA